UGUGUGUGUGUGUGUGUGUGUGAGAGAGUGUGUGAGAGUGAGUGAAAAAGAGACGCGCAAUUGUCUUUUUCUCUGACACACUCCCUUUUUAUCUUGUUCCUCCAUGUAGUCACCUCUUUUGUUUAUGUUAAGUUAAUGUAAGUUGUCCAUGUAAUUUUUUUUUUUUUUUUUCAAUUAAAAUCUAAUAUCUUACUUGUUUUCUACAUUCGCUUAUUCUCCUCUUUUUUUUUUGUUGUCGUCUGCAGGGAAAGCUGAGAGGAUGAAACGGUUAUGAUCUGUAGACCGGCCUCAUUUUAAGGAGAGUUUGACAGGAUUUUUAUUUUUUUUUUGGAUGACGGAGGGCCUCCCUGACCUAUACAGCCGACUACCCCAGUGAACUCAGUGUUAUAAUGGGUAAGAAACUCUUCACUGUUCCAGUACAGACAGCACAAUGUUUUGCUUCUCAUUUUCUCUCCCUGUGCUUCAGAACAGGUUCGUCUUGAUGCCGGGGUUGGGUUUUCUGUGGAAGGAGGACAGGACUCCAGCAAAGGGCCCGGUCAUACUGUCCGCCGGCUGCCAGGCCUUCAGAAUCUCCUGAGUCUGGGCAGCCGGCUGGGCCACGGCCGGGUUGGACGGCCCCAUGCUGGACCAGCUGGGCGGCUUCAGCCCCUGGAGGACCGGGGAGCUGGAGGUGUUGAUGUAGCCGCUGUUGAUGGGAACCGGGCUGGGACUCAGGCUGGCGGGGCUGCCCAGGUUCCCGUUGGCCGAGCCCGGCAGGGAGGCCGUGCUGUCCGGCGUGGGGCUGCAGGUGGAUUCUUUGGACUCGUCGUCGUCAGAGGAAGACCUCAGCUCUCCGCCCUUCUUGCAUCCAGAACUGCUGCCGGAGCUGCUGCCCGUGGUGCCGCCAGAGUUGCUGACUUUGGCGUUGGCUGCGCGCUCCUGCUUACGAAACUUGGCGCGCCUGUUCUGAAACCACACCUGUUACACAGACAAAGUUAAAAAAAAAAUGAAUAUACCUCCGGAGGAAUAAAACAGGCUCCAUACCUGAGGAGUACGGUGUGGGCUGGUGCUCUCGCAGCGCUCCCAGGGUGCAGCUGGCCGUGCUGAGCGGAGUGCAGCCCGGGUUGGAGAACGGUCCGCUCCGGAUCGGGUUGUACUGGAAGGAGCUGGCCUGGCUGCACGAGCUGAAGUCCGCGUAGGCCGACGCUUCCAUGGCCGCCAUGCAGGAGUCAUAGGAGUUCAGAUAGGAGUAAUCCAUUUUAUACAUGGAGAGGAGCCGGUGCAAACACCGGUCUGCAAGCCAAACACGACGAGGUGAACUCUGAGAAGCUCUGGUGUGUCUUCAGCCGCCUUUUAUUUUUAGGAGAUAUAGUGACUAUUGUUCAAACCGGUCGGAGUUGGUCUGUGUCCCCAGUAUCUCCCGGGACUGUUGGUUUCGUCUCUUCAAAACUCCUUGUCCAGAUUUUUAUAUCUCACUGUCACGCGGCUGUUUUUCUUUGGUAAAUAAUCCAGAUGUUUUCCCUUUUGUUCUCUCUACAGCUCUCCGCUGUCCUCCUUCACUUUCUCUUGCUCCUGGGUUUUUCUCCCCUCGGUGCUUCUUCCCCUGGACUGCAGCUCGCUCUCUGCUCUCGCGCUCCGUUUUGACAGUGCGCUGCGGCUCGCGCAGUGUUUAUAAUAAACUUGGCAGAGCGCGAGACAAUAGCGAGGCGGUGGUCUAGUUUCCAUGACAAUGCCACCAGUGAGUGAGCGUGGACACGGACAGCCCCCCUCCCUCCCCCCUAUUCCCCCUCCCACCGCUCACUGCACCGCCCACGCGCUCCAGAACAUCGCGAGCUCGCAGGUGUCAGCAGAGUUAAAUCAUCUAAAAAACAACGACUUCUUCAUUAAAAUUGUUGAAAUGUUGAUGCUUCCUUUAUCGGACGCUUCUAAUGCCGGCGAGUCAAGUUUUCUCAGCGCACACAUAACCAAAACCAGGCGUCGGUUUCUUCCAAUUUCCUUUAAAUAAAGCUAUGAACUGCGUUUUUAUAAGUUAAGUCUCCAGGAAGAAAUGUAAGGAGCAAUUUUAAACCAAGACGGGCACUUCUAUACUUUUUAUCUGAGCUUAGGUGAACACUUUCCUCUCUUUUCCCACUAUGUUGAGGGAACGCUCGAGCUAUAAUUCAGUCUGAAAAGAGCAGCACACCACAGCCUCUAAAAGUGAAUCAUAAACCGGUUGUACAAUAGUUUCGCAUUCAGGCAGAAGGACUGACUGUUUGGGACAUUUGGGGAUGGAACACCAUGAAUAGGAAUGUAGCGUUUGGUCAAAUAUCACAAGAUAAGAUAGGCCUAAAAACUGAAUAUAAAGGAGCAAUAUUCGCUCGGUUAGGGAUUGAAUUAUGUCCGAUAUUGAAGGCAUCUACAAGAAAAACUUACACUCAGGAAAUACAUAAUUUCACUGGUCUUGGAGAGUCUGAUAUCUGAAUAUUUUUGCGAUAGCCCCUAUACGAUUAGUUUAUGCCGAAACAGUGUAAUUAGUAGCUUAUUUGCAAGUGACUAAAAUGCAUCUCAAUGAGCAGGUGCAGCUUGAGCCCCAAAUAACGCUCCGUAUAGCCGGUCAAUGUAGUUUCACUGACCCACACACGGCACAACGAAACAACUGCAGCGCAGCCACAGAAGUCUUUACGUGGUGGAAAACGUCCAGAUGUGACGGUGAUUGGUGAGAUUAAAAGCUUUGAUUUGAUUCCGAUCACUUUUUACGGAGAUGUCACCAGAGUGAGCGUCACUUUGAUGUAUAGGACGAGAGAGGGAAUUGGCUGCGGAGACAAGUGAGCAACCGCGACAGGCUAACCAUAAACGCAUUGACGCUUCAUAAAUUGGUUUAAGUUUAUUGUUCGGUGUCAUACAAUGUGAUAAGUCAUAUCCCACACGGCCCCCAUAUCACACACACGCGCGCGCAAACACACAGAAAGGACUUGAAACCAGAAUACUGGCAGGCAGGCGCGCGCUCCAUGCAGUCUUAAAACCGGCACGGCUGCAUUUCAGACUGUGUUCAUUAAAUUAACAGGCGUUUUAUUAGUGGAUAAAUUUCACCAAAUAACACAACCCACAAACCAAAAAUUACGUUUAACGUGCAUGCGAGGAAAUAAUUAAGUUUGGCUUGAGCGCGCGCGCUCCAAAGUGCGCGCUUUUAUCUCUGCUUGACCAGAGGCUGUACGCGAUGCUCCUUGAUGUCAUUAACCCAGAAAACACACACGCGCGCGCAUGCGUGUUUUCGCCGCGCCUGUACUCGCUUAAACUACAAAUAAGUAUAAAUAAUACGAUUUGUUUAAAGCGUUCGUUGUGUGGUCGGUGAGGAGCUGGUGGAUGUUUGGGGCGGGGCGGCACGCGGGGCUCCUGUUGAUACAGUUGCAGAUGGAACGUCACUCAUCAAGGCCACGAGAGCUCUCUGAGUUUAAGAGGACACAUCUCGCAGUCUUCUGGUCCACUCUACAUGCUCUACAUGUUCUCAUUAUAUGAUUCCAGUUUGUAAUCUGAGUUACACUCCCGCUCUUGAUCGAGUUUCAGUUGUUCGCAGAAUUCGUCUUUUGUCUUAUUCUAUAAACUUCUGAUUCGGGUCGAAUGUGUAUAGUCACAGUGUUCCAAGUAAUAUCUAAUUAUUUAUGCAAAAAUAUCAACCCAAAUAUUUUGCUCCAAUUUAGAAAAAAAUCGUCUGCAAAGAUGUUCAGAUUUUGUGCACCAUGCCUUCCAGAGAUAACGACAAUAGGCCUCGAUGCUUGAGACCCAAAAUGCAAGAUGGCAUAGUUUCCCUUCCUAAAUGAACUCGGAUAAAAUGCUGCAACACCGAUAUAGAGUUCUGUGCGAUCCCUGUGAAGCAAUUUAAAUAAAUACGUGUCAUCAGCCUCGUGAUUUAACCAAUCAGCUCCCACGUCUGGUGGGUUCAGAGGUGAGUUUACCGAGAAACUUAAACAGUUUCAAAGUUAAACUCUCCAGGCCGUUUCUGCCUCCCCCCCCCCCCCCCCAAAAAA